GAGCUUAUUACCUGCUUGCUCGUGCAGUGACUGUGAAUUAUCUUGCCCGAAAGCCCCACCAAAAACCGAGUGUCCCGAGCAAUAUAAAAUAGCCGGAUUUGAUGCCUAUGUCGUAAUAAUGUCAUCAGUUUAUUUUGUAGGAGUUUUUAUUUUCCUCAUGGGAUCAUUUGUAUUUACUCAAGAUUCGAUAAUAGAUGAAAACCCGAC